rnacentral:rRNA from 1 species
GUACACGCUGUGACUAGCAUAUCAAUAAGCGGAGGAAAAGGGGGCUAUUACCUACGCUUAGGAUGUUGACGAGACUGUCGAUCUCAUCUAUACAUGACUCUGUGCAUAUCAAUAAGCGGAGGAAAAGAAACUAACAAGGAUUCCCCUAGUAACGGCGAGUGAAGCGGGAAGAGCUCAAAUUUGAAAUCUUAAAGGGUUUCCCUUUACGAAUUGUAGUUUAAAGAAGUGUUUUCCGCUGAGGUUUUGGUAAAAGUUCUUUGGAAUAGGACAUCAUAGAGGGUGAGAAUCCCGUAUUUGACCUUUACUUUCAACUUUGUGAUACACUUUCAAAGAGUCGGAUUGUUUGGGAAUGCAGUCCAAAAUGGGUGGUAAAUUUCAUCUAAAGCUAAAUAUUGGCGAGAGACCGAUAGCGAACAAGUACCGUGAGGGAAAGAUGAAAAGAACUUUGAAAAGAGAGUUAAACAGUACGUGAAAUUGUCAAAAGGGAAGCGUUUGACACCAGUGUUGUUUUUCUGAAAAUCAAUUAAAGAACUGUUUAUGCUAAGCUGUUUAGACUUUAUCAGCUAACUGUUUAGUUUUGAGCUUUUCUUUAAUGCACUUUUCAGUUAACAAGUCAACAUCAAUUUCUUUUGCUGUAAAAAAGCUUGAGGAAGGUGGCUUGAGAUUCGUCUUAAGUGUUUAUAGCCUCUUGCCUAUGCAGUCGGAGAGAUUGAGGUCUGCAGCGUAGAUCCUUCGGGGCUAAAUGCAUUUGUGCUAAGUUAUAACAUUUUAUAGACAACUUGUUGACUAUGAUUUGUCUUGUAGCUUACUCGCUUAUGUUAUUUUACCUACGCUUAGGAUGUUGACGAGACUGUCGAUCUC